GUCGGCCUACGGGGCGCAGCAGUGGGGGAUAUUGCACAAUGGGGGGAACCCUGAUGCAGCGACGCCGCGUGGGUGAAGAAGCGCCUCGGCGCGUAAAGCCCUGUCAGCAGGGAAGAAAAUGACGGUACCUGAAGAAGAAGCCCCGGCUAACUACGUGCCAGCAGCCGCGGUAAUACGUAGGGGGCAAGCGUUAUCCGGAUUUACUGGGUGUAAAGGGGGCGCAGACGGCGAUGCAAGCCAGGAGUGAAAGCCCGGGGCCCAACCCCGGGACUGCUCUUGGAACUGCGCGGCUGGGUGGCCGGAGG
rnacentral:rRNA from 1 species